rnacentral:lncRNA from 1 species
CAUGCACCCUUGUCCUGUCAGUGUGCUCUGGCUCAGACCUCCCUCGGGAACAGGGACUUGUGCUUCCUCCUGAAGAACUCCAUGUAAUUAAGGCAUGAAGAGGCCAUAGUUUGCAUUCAGAGAGUUCCUUCUGUUCUAUAGCCAGCUGCACAUCUCUGCCAAGUCGGAAUUACGGGACUGCAUUCCCAGUUUGAAGAGGAAAAGCAGGAUCCCAGGAAAAGAACUGUUCAAUGAACAAGAUCUUCUGUUGUCUUGCAGCAACCUUCUUUCCUAUUCUGUUGUACAUUAUUUUUAUAAGAUGAAGUCUUAGCCAGACAGUGGGUGUCAUCCCAGCACUUGGGAGUCUGAGGCAGGGGGAUUGCUUCGAGGUCAAGACCAGCCUGGGAUACAUAGUGAGAUCUGUCCCCCAAAAUUAAAAAAAGAUAAAGUCUUACUUGUCUGCCCUUAUUUCAAGCACUGAAAAUUGAUCGAUUCAUUCAAAUACUCAGACAACCCCAAGAGGCAGCCAUCAUUAUUAUCCCCUUUAGACACCGCUUCCAGUAUCUACAAGUAGAUGAAUGCUGUCCAUGGACCCACAGCGCCCCAGAUUUCUCUGCCAGUCAAACCUCAGCUCUUCACCCUUGACCCCAGCCCACAGGGUUUUGUGUUGCAGGUGCCCUGCACGUCAGCUGCUUCCAGGUGGGAGUGGAUCUGGAAGCGGUGGCAGACAGCAGUCGUACCAGUAACUCAAGUUGGUACAUUUGUAUCUGCUGCAGAAAGUGCCUUUGGGUGUGCUGCGCAGUAGACAUGCUCAAUGGAUUCACUUUUCUAACGUGGUCAGGUGGUUAGCUGGAAAUUGGAUGAGUCAGAUCCUUGAAGCCUGUUUGCAAGUGUGUGAAAAAAUUAAAAAGAACUUCUAAUUUUAGGAAAUAUUGAUGGUUUUGGAAGAUGAAACUCAAAUGAGCGCUUGUUCUCUAGCCCAGGCCAUGCCUGUUUUCUCUCCUCACCUGUUCACUGAGUGGCAGGAGCAGGUCAAGACCUGUCUUCUCGAGGAAUCAGAAUCAAGAGUUUCAGCACAAUCUCUCCAAGUGAUCUCAGCU